CCUACGGGUGGCAGCAGUGGGGAAUAUUGGACAAUGGGGGGAACCCUGAUCCAGCCAUGCCGCGUGUGUGAAGAAGGCCCUCGGGUUGUAAAGCACUUUCAGUGAGGAAGAACGCCUGGUGGUUAAUACCCAUCAGGAAAGACAUCACUCACAGAAGAAGCACCGGCUAACUCCGUGCCAGCAGCCGCGGUAAUACGGAGGGUGCGAGCGUUAAUCGGAAUUACUGGGCGUAAAGCGCGCGUAGGUGGCUUGAUAAGCCGGUUGUGAAAGCCCCGGGCUCAACCUGGGAACGGCAUCCGGAACUGUCAAGCUAGAGUGCAGAGGAAGGUAGAAUUCCCGGUGUAGCGGUGAAAUGCGUAGAGAUCGGGAGGAAUACCAGUGGCGAAGGCGGCCUUCUGGACUGACACUGACACUGAGGUGCGAAAGCGUGGGUAGCAAACAGGAUUAGAUACCCUUGUAGUC
rnacentral:rRNA from 1 species